ACCCUCUUCUCAUAUAAGCCAUUUUUUUCCAUUUAAAAAUAUAAAUAACUAAAGGAAAGUUUAAGUGAUCAGUUUCUACGGUUAGAAAACUUCUGUUUUCUCUUCACAUUCAAGACAGAGGGCUCUGAAUAAGAAAAUCUGAACAACGCCUCCCUCUCCAGAGCAGCCUGCCUUCCCACCUUCCGUCGGGCUCAUGACGGCACAGAUGCUUCGCACAAGCCCAGCUGGUGGAGUCCAAUGUCGCUGGCUUUGCUGAGUGCCUGGGGUUGCUGAAACCAUCAGAACAUUCAUGUUACCUUCAGUGGCUGACCAUGCUACACUCAUCUGUGUGAGUGAUCCUUACCUACCUCGCUGUUUAUGACCUAUGUUCAGCAUAUACAUCCUGAAAAUGCUGAGCCAGACCCCCAGCCGGCCAGUUCCCAGGAAGGUUCAAGAAAUACACAGCAAUAAGUGAAUACCAGGCCCAUGUUUUUCUUUGCGUUAAACCUAAAACCCGGCUGAAAAGAGAAUCAGAGAGAGAAUAGAAGAUUGGCACAUGACAGAGCCUUGAACUCCCCUCCUAAGGUAAACGGAGCAACAUCUCACACCUCCUGUUGGAGUUAACCAAGUGAUACCGUGUGUAUAUUUGCCCUGCCCAAAUCUCACGUUGAAACGCAAUUCCCAAGGUUGGUGGUUGUGCCUGGUGGGAGGUGAUUGGAUCAUGGGGGUGGAUUUCUCAUGCAUGGCUUAGCACAAUCCCUUUGAUGCUGUCCUCACGACAGUGAGUUCUCGCGAGAUUUGGUUGUUUAAAAGUGUGUGUCACCCUGCCCCCAUUCUUGCUCCUCCUCCCACCAGGUGAGAUGCCU
rnacentral:lncRNA from 1 species